AAUAUUACUAUGUAUAUAUUAAUAUAUUAUGUGAGCUAAUUUUACAUUAGAUAUAUUAACUAUAUAUAUUCAUAAUAAUAAAUAUAAGU
rnacentral:miRNA from 1 species